CGUAUUUAUUCUUGGGGUUUUAUUGCAACAACCACUAAAGCUGCGGAUAAAAUUACUUGGUUGUGUAGUAAUCAACUUUGGGAUGUUAUUGUUAGUCAUUUUCUACAACAGUGGAUAUUCAAGUAUUCUGACUAAAAGAUCAUACGCUCCUUAUGUAUCAACAGGAAGUGAAUUAGAAAAAAGCGAUUUGCCGUUUAUUGUUGUACAUGAGUCAUAUUUCGCCAAUCUUGAUAUACUACAAUAUCCAAAUAUUAAAUCGAAUCCAAAAAUCAUGGAGCCAGAUGAACUAGGACAAAUACUUAAGAAAACUAACAAAAUAUCAAUAGCAAUAGAUCAUUUAAAUAUAGGC